CAGGGGGUGGGGAGCAACAGGGCCUUAUCUGUGUUCCUAAAAUAGUGAUCCUUCUGAGACAUAGAGGGACAGCUGGGACCAGGACAAGAAAGGAUGAGAGAAGCAGACCAGUUAGGAUUGCAUCGCAGCCCCCAGGGACUCCAUGAGAUGAUGGAUCAUCCCCAUGCUUCAGAUGAGGAAGAGGAGGCCCGGAGGCAGCAGAAGUUCCUAACCACUGUGUCACACUGCCCCCUGCUGAGCACCUACUAAGUGCCAGGCUUAGAAAACAAUGGUGUUUGAGACAUGCCCAGGAGUUUCUCCUCUGGUCGGGCAAGCUCAUGGAUUUGUGCCUCUCCUGCAACCAACUGAGGGAGGAGAUGCCAUGAGCUUUUGUUCCAGGUAUUGGAGAUACAGCAGUGAAGAAAGCUGACAAGAACUCCUGUUCUUUUGGACUUCACCAUUGGAAUGAAGGUCACAGAUAAUAAAUUUAAGAAGUAAAGGUGCAUAUUCUGUAUCAGUGAGGGAUCACUCACCAGACUUCAAUUAACUUGACCAUUUCCUGCUUGGGACACUCUUGGCUUUGGUGAUCCAACACUCUUGCUUCUCUUCUUCCCAAUCUGGUUGAUUUUUUUUUUCUUCAGUCCUCUUUGUCAACCUUUUUCCCCCCCUUUUUGUUGGUUACUUCAGGUUGAAGUCCUUCAGGAUUUUGCUUUAAUUGCUUUUUUUGUAUUCUUUUCAUUCAUUUAUUUGGCCCUCGCUUGUGUAUAUUCUAUUUUAUUCCUAGAUGAAUUUUUAAAAAAUAUUCCUUAUUGUUUCAACCACCACUAGAUCCCAGUGAUGCUAAAACUGAUGAAUCAAACCCCAGAGAUGGGUUUAUUGUAAAUCUAAGGAGGUUGUUGUGGUUGUGCCAGGCCACUCUCUUCAUGGACUUCUGUGAGUGUUGCAAGUUUCCAGGGAUUGAUUGUACAAUGUCUCAGAUGUGGAGUGAAAGAGGAGUUACAACCAAGGAGCAUUUCCUUGGAAGCAUUCCUGGCAAAUCAUCUAAAGAAAUUUUAGAAGGAAAGAAACUGAGUAUGAUUAGAGUAAUUUGUAAUAACUUCUU